UCACGUAGUUUGACUCGUGCUCAGAACGACGCUUGGCGGCAGGCCUAACACAUGCAAGUCGAGCGAGACCUUCGGGUCUAGCGGCGGACGGGUGAGUAACGCGUGGGAACGUGCCCUUUGGUACGGAAUAGCCCCGGGAAACUGGGAGUAAUACCGGAUGUGCCCUUUGGGGGAAAGAUUUAUCGGCAAAGGAUCGGCCCGCGUUGGAUUAGGUAGUUGGUGGGGUAAUGGCCUACCAAGCCGACGAUCCAUAGCUGGUUUGAGAGGAUGAUCAGCCACACUGGGACUGAGACACGGCCCAGACUCCUACGGGAGGCAGCAGUGGGGAAUCUUAGACAAUGGGGGAAACCCUGAUCUAGCCAUGCCGCGUGAUCGAUGAAGGCCUUAGGGUUGUAAAGAUCUUUCAGAUGGGAAGAUAAUGACGGUACCAUCAGAAGAAGCCCCGGCUAACUCCGUG
rnacentral:rRNA from 1 species